rnacentral:rRNA from 1 species
UGAACGCUGGCGGCGUGCCUAACACAUGCAAGUCGAACGGAGAUUAGACGCUGACGAGACUUCGGUCAAAUCUGUUUAAUCUUAGUGGCGGACGGGUGAGUAACGCGUGGGCAACCUGCCUCAUACUGGGGGGAUAGCAGUUGGAAACGACUGAUAAUACCGCAUAAGCGCACGAGAUCGCAUGAUCUAGUGUAGAAAAACUCCGGUGGUAUGAGAUGGGCCCGCGUCAGAUUAGCUAGUUGGUAAGGUAACGGCUUACCAAGGCGACGAUCUGUAGCCGGACUGAGAGGUCGGACGGCCACAUUGGGACUGAGACACGGCCCAAACUCCUACGGGAGGCAGCAGUGGGGGAUAUUGCACAAUGGAGGAAACUCUGAUGCAGCGACGCCGCCGUGAGUGAAGAAGUAUUUCGGUAUGUAAAGCUCUAUCAGCAGGGAAGAAAGGCUCGUAAGAGAGAUGACGGUACCUGACUAAGAAGCCCCGGCUAACUACGUGCCAGCCGCCGC